GGCUGAAACUCGCCUCUUUGAAGUCGGAAUCGCUAGUAAUCGCAGAUCAGCAUGUUGCGGUGAAUACGUUUCCUGGUCUUGUACACACCGCCCGUCAAACCAUGAGAGUCGCCAACACCCGAAGUCCGCUUUGUGGCCUAAGGUGGGGGAGAUGAUUGGGGUUAAGUCGUAACAAGGUAAC
rnacentral:rRNA from 1 species